CACCGCACCCGGCCGAUAUUACAAAAUCUUUCCUGAGGCUGGAAGUCCAGAAGUCGGGGUGCUGGCAGGACGUGCUCUUCUGAAGCCUCCAGGGCAGGGCCAGCCGCAUGCCCGUCUCCUCGCUUGGGCACCUGCCAGCGGUCCCCGGCGGUCCCCGGCUCAUUGCUGCAUGGCUCCAACGUCCGCCUCUCCCACCAUGUGGCCUCCUCCUGGUGUCUCUGUGUCCAAAUCUCCCGCUCUGUCUAAGGAUAACAGUCACUGGUCAUGGGACCCAUCCUAAUCCAGGGUGACCUCGUAUUAAC
rnacentral:lncRNA from 1 species